UAGAAUAUAGUGUAAGUUUGGUAGCACGAAGAUCUUUGAAUUCUUAAGAUUAGG
rnacentral:tRNA from 1 species